UACGUAGGGUCCGAGCGUUGUCCGGAAUUAUUGGGCGUAAAGAGCUCGUAGGCGGUUUGUCGCGUCUGCUGUGAAAUCCCGAGGCUCAACCUCGGGCCUGCAGUGGGUACGGGCAGACUGGAGUGCGGUAGGGGAGAAUGGAAUUCCUGGUGUAGCGGUGGAAUGCGCAGAUAUCAGGAGGAACACCGAUGGCGAAGGCAGUUUUCUGGGCCGUAACUGACGCUGAGGAGCGAAAGCGUGGGGAGCGAACAGG
rnacentral:rRNA from 1 species